AAGAAAUGCUAAUACCGCAUGACAUAUCGGAACCACAUGGUUUUGAUAUCAAAGAUUUUAUCGCUUGAAGAUGGACUCGCGUCCGAUUAGUUAGUUGGUGAGGUAACGGCUCACCAAGACCGCGAUCGGUAGCCGGACUGAGAGGUUGAACGGCCACAUUGGGACUGAGACACGGCCCAGACUCCUACGGGAGGCAGCAUG
rnacentral:rRNA from 1 species